GGGGGAGCAAGCGUUGUUCGGAAUUACUGGGCGUAAAGGGCGCGUAGGCGGCCGAGUAAGUCGCGUGUGAAAUGCCGGGGCUCAACCCCGUGCACUGCACGCGAUACUGCUUGGCUCGAGAGAGGUAGGGGCGAGCGGAAUUCCCGGUGUAGCGGUGGAAUGCGUAGAUAUCGGGAAGAACACCAGUGGCGAAGGCGGCUCGCUGGACCUCUUCUGACGCUGAAGCGCGAAAGCGUGGGGAGCAAACAGGGAUUAGAUACCCUGGUAGUCCACGCCGUAAACGCUGGGUACUAGGUGUUGGGGGGGAUUGACCCCCUUCAGUGCCCGACGCUAACGCAUUAAGUACCCCGCCUGGGGAGUACGGUCGCAAGGCUG
rnacentral:rRNA from 1 species